rnacentral:misc_RNA from 1 species
UGAAAAAAGAAAUAUUGAUAAAUAGAUAGAAAGGUAGAAGAUAUAAAACUCUAGGUAGAAGAUAUAAUUUUGAAAGCAAGAAAGAAACCUCCGAGUUUCAGCGGGGCGGAAGAGAGCCAACACAAAAUGGUGCCAGACAGAACCCCAUUUCGUGGCUUAAAACACUUCGUAGACACCCAUCCAAAUCCAGGUUUCAAAGAGAACCAAUUGUCAGAUGAACUUAACUACAUGGUUCCGGUUCACUCCACAAUUCCUAUUAGAACUACAGUAUAGCAGAAACACCAUCAUCUAAGUUCUACCAGAACAGCAUCCAGCCUUGAUUCCAGCAUCAAUCUCCAUUAGCAUAAGGUGAAGCACGACGGGCAUGGCGGUAUGGAGGAGAUCUGCUGUAGCUCCGACCACGCUUAGGAGGUGUAAUGCUGCGACGUCGUGGGGAUCUUUUACCACGAGGACUGUUACUCCUGCGGCCAUAUCUUUCAUAGCUUGGACUCCGACGACGCCGAGGAGAAGGACUACGACGUAAACCACCUCCUACCCCUCGUGAGCCCCCACGUGAACGACACUCACGAGCAAAAUGACCAGGCUCACCACAUUCAUAACAUUUCAAAUCAUCACCACCACCACGGCCACGACGACCACCACCUCCUCCACCACCUUUAGAGUUGUGAGAAAGCUCCACGCGCCAACCAUUUUUCCCAUCCAAUGCUUGUAUUGCAUCUAGAGCAUCCCUGCGAUCAUCAAACUCGAUAAAUGCAUAUCCUGGAGGCCUUCUAGCAACCCAAACACUCCUAAGAACACCGAACAUUCGAAAUUCAUCUUCAAGAUCCCUCUCUGUAACGCGUGGAUCCAGAUUACCAAUAUAAACUCGAGUCAUUGUAGCGAAGGAGCCAAAGAACCGCCAAGAUAAAGAUCUCGCGGAUCGUUGAAAAGUACGAAGAGAUCAGCCGGUGAAAAGG